rnacentral:rRNA from 1 species
UACGGAGGGGGCUAGCGUUGUUCGGAAUUACUGGGCGUAAAGGGCGCGUAGGCGGCGCAACAAGUCACUUGUGAAAUCUCCGGGCUUAACCCGGAGCGGCCAAGUGAUACUGUCGUGCUAGAGUGCGGAAGGGGCUACUGGAAUUCUCGGUGUAGCGGUGAAAUGCGUAGAUAUCGAGAGGAACACCUGCGGCGAAGGCGGGUAGCUGGGCCGACACUGACGCUGAGGCGCGAAGCCAGGGGAGCGAACGGG